UACGAAGGGGGCUAGCGUUGUUCGGAAUUACUGGGCGUAAAGCGCACGUAGGCGGAUAUUUAAGUCAGGGGUGAAAUCCCAGAGCUCAACUCUGGAACUGCCUUUGAUACUGGGUAUCUUGAGUAUGGAAGAGGUAAGUGGAAUUGCGAGUGUAGAGGUGAAAUUCGUAGAUAUUCGCAGGAACACCGGUGGCGAAGGCGGCCCACUGGAUCGGUACUGACGCUGAGGUGCGAAAGCGUGGGGAGCAAACAGG
rnacentral:rRNA from 1 species